GUAAUCAUACAAUACGGAUUAGGAUGCGUCGAUCGGCGUUUUUUGGAUUAGGGCUUUCUCAGAUGUAUUUUAAGAUGGGCUAAAUAUGAUUUUUUUUAGUGAGUGUCAAUUGGGGACUUUCGAGCCCAAACACAAAUUUAUAUUAUCAUUAGACUUAAGUGGAGAUAAUAUGGCAGAUUAAUAUUUCUUGAUUGGUUGAUUAAAUUGGAUGACGUGGACAGGCUAACCUUUAAGCUUAUUUGUCUUUUAGUAUAGUAUAUAUAUAUAUAUAGAUACCCAUGUUUGACUCAAUUAAUUUUAGAUGAGUCAAAACCCAAUCCAUUAUUGGGUAAACCCGUAAUAUCCCGAGGGAACAGGGGAGGAGCAAACAACAUCAUCUUUCCGAGGCCAAGAUACUUCUCUUUAGGCACUGUUAAUAAAGGGAGGCUAGCAAAGAUUGAAGAGGAUAAGGCUAACUCUUCAAAAGCAUCACAUGGAAUGGAACCAUGUAAUCUGUUCGUAGGAUUGAGCCAACUUCUAGACUACUUGAAGGUCUGCAAUCAUCGAUGAUGGCCUCGAAGAUUCCUUCGAUGUCACACAGCAGAAGUCACCAAAGCAAAAAUUAACUGUAGAGGUGAUCUUAUUAGAGUGUUGAAUAGUGUGAAAUAACUUGGAGACAACCCAUAGGUCUAUAUUGAGCUAAGACUGCUUACUUUGUUUGACAGGCAAGUAGGUGGUGAAAGGAUGUAUAAUAUGAAACCAAUAUUUUUAUAUUUUUUUCCUGUGGUCGA